rnacentral:rRNA from 1 species
ACUCUAAGCGGUGGAUCACUCGGCUCAUGGGUCGAUGAAGAACGCAGCAAACUGUGCGUCAUCGUGUGAACUGCAGGACACAUGAACAUCGACAUUUUGAACGCAUAUCGCAGUCCAUGCUGUUAUGUACUUUAAUUAAUUUUAUAGUGCUGCUUGGACUACAUAUGGUUGAGGGUUGUAAGACUAUGCUAAUUAAGUUGCUUAUAAAUUUUUAUAAGCAUAUGGUAUAUUAUUGGAUAAAUAUAAUAAUUUUUAUUCAUAAUAUUAAAAAAUAAAUGAAAAACAUUAUCUCACAUUUGAAUGUGAAAAACGAAGAGAAAUAUUUUCUUUUUCAAUCAAAUAAUACUGAGAAAUGUCUAGCAUAAAAAAUUGAAAUAUUUUUCAUCUAGAAUUGUCUCUUAUUAAUGAUUCGGAAAUAGAAAAAUCUUGGUUAUGUUAUUAUUCUUCGUUGGUUCGUUAAAAAUGGAUAAAUAAAAACUUUGCAUACAAGAAUUAAUAAAAAUGUUAUAACGAAUUUAAUUAAAUGUUUUAUCAUUAUAUAUAAAGAAUUUAUGGCAAGAUAAAGUUAUAUACAACCUCAACUCAUAUGGGACUACCCCCUGAAUUUAAGCAUAUUAAUUAGGGGAGGAAAAGAAACUAACAAGGAUUUUCUUAGUAGCGGCGAGCGAAAAGAAAACAGUUCAGCACUAAGUCACUUUGUCUAUAUGGCAAAUGUGAGAUGCAGUGUAUGGAGCGUCAAUAUUCUAGUAUGAGAAAUUAACGAUUUAAGUCCUUCUUAAAUGAGGCCAUUUACCCAUAGAGGGUGCCAGGCCCGUAUAACGUUAAUGAUUACUAGAUGAUGUUUCCAAAGAGUCGUGUUGCUUGAUAGUGCAGCACUAAGUGGGUGGUAAACUCCAUCUAAAACUAAAUAUAACCAUGAGACCGAUAGUAAACAAGUACCGUGAGGGAAAGUUGAAAAGAACUCUGAAUAGAGAGUUAAACAGUACGUGAAACUGCUUAGAGGUUAAGCCCGAUGAACCUGAAUAUCCGUUAUGGAAAAUUCAUCAUUAAAAUUGUAAUAUUUAAAUAAUAUUAUGAGAAUAGUGUGCAUUUUUUCCAUAUAAGGACAUUGUAAUCUAUUAGCAUAUACCAAAUUUAUCAUAAAAUAUAACUUAUAGUUUAUUCCAAUUAAAUUGCUUGCAUUUUAACACAGAAUAAAUGUUAUUAAUUUGAUAAAGUGCUGAUAGAUUUAUAUGAUUACAGUGCGUUAAUUUUUCGGAAUUAUAUAAUGGCAUAAUUAUCAUUGAUUUUUGUGUUUAUUAUAUGCACUUGUAUGAUUAACAAUGCGAAAGAUUCAGGAUACCUUCGGGACCCGUCUUGAAACACGGACCAAGGAGUCUAACAUAUGUGCAAGUUAUUGGGAUAUAAACCUAAUAGCGUAAUUAACUUGACUAAUAAUGGGAUUAGUUUUUUAGCUAUUUAUAGCUAAUUAACACAAUCCCGGGGCGUUCUAUAUAGUUAUGUAUAAUGUAUAUUUAUAUUAUUUAUGCCUCUAACUGGAACGUACCUUGAGCAUAUAUGCUGUGACCCGAAAGAUGGUGAACUAUACUUGAUCAGGUUGAAGUCAGGGGAAACCCUGAUGGAAGACCGAAACAGUUCUGACGUGCAAAUCGAUUGUCAGAAUUGAGUAUAGGGGCGAAAGACCAAUCGAACCAUCUAGUAGCUGGUUCCUUCCGAAGUUUCCCUCAGGAUAGCUGGUGCAUUUUAAUAUUAUAUAAAAUAAUCUUAUCUGGUAAAGCGAAUGAUUAGAGGCCUUAGGGUCGAAACGAUCUUAACCUAUUCUCAAACUUUAAAUGGGUAAGAACCUUAACUUUCUUGAUAUGAAGUUCAAGGUUAUGAUAUAAUGUGCCCAGUGGGCCACUUUUGGUAAGCAGAACUGGCGCUGUGGGAUGAACCAAACGUAAUGUUACGGUGCCCAAAUUAACAACUCAUGCAGAUACCAUGAAAGGCGUUGGUUGCUUAAAACAGCAGGACGGUGAUCAUGGAAGUCGAAAUCCGCUAAGGAGUGUGUAACAACUCACCUGCCGAAGCAACUAGCCCUUAAAAUGGAUGGCGCUUAAGUUGUAUACCUAUACAUUACCGCUAAAGUAGAUGAUUUAUAUUACUUGUGAUAUAAAUUUUGAAACUUUAGUGAGUAGGAAGGUACAAUGGUAUGCGUAGAAGUGUUUGGCGUAAGCCUGCAUGGAGCUGCCAUUGGUACAGAUCUUGGUGGUAGUAGCAAAUAAUCGAAUGAGACCUUGGAGGACUGAAGUGGAGAAGGGUUUCGUGUGAACAGUGGUUGAUCACGAGUUAGUCGGUCCUAAGUUCAAGGCGAAAGCCGAAAAUUUUCAAGUAAAACAAAAAUGCCUAACUAUAUAAACAAAGCGAAUUAUAAUACACUUGAAUAAUUUUGAACGAAAGGGAAUACGGUUCCAAUUCCGUAACCUGUUGAGUAUCCGUUUGUUAUUAAAUAUGGGCCUCGUGCUCAUCCUGGCAACAGGAACGACCAUAAAGAAGCCGUCGAGAGAUAUCGGAAGAGUUUUCUUUUCUGUUUUAUAGCCGUACUACCAUGGAAGUCUUUCGCAGAGAGAUAUGGUAGAUGGGCUAGAAGAGCAUGACAUAUACUGUUGUGUCGAUAUUUUCUCCUCGGACCUUGAAAAUUUAUGGUGGGGACACGCAAACUUCUCAACAGGCCGUACCAAUAUCCGCAGCUGGUCUCCAAGGUGAAGAGUCUCUAGUCGAUAGAAUAAUGUAGGUAAGGGAAGUCGGCAAAUUAGAUCCGUAACUUCGGGAUAAGGAUUGGCUCUGAAGAUUGAGAUAGUCGGGCUUGAUUGGGAAACAAUAACAUGGUUUAUGUGCUCGUUCUGGGUAAAUAGAGUUUCUAGCAUUUAUGUUAGUUACUUGUUCCCCGGAUAGUUUAGUUACGUAGCCAAUUGUGGAACUUUCUUGCUAAAAUUUUUAAGAAUACUAUUUGGGUUAAACCAAUUAGUUCUUAUUAAUUAUAACGAUUAUCAAUUAACAAUCAAUUCAGAACUGGCACGGACUUGGGGAAUCCGACUGUCUAAUUAAAACAAAGCAUUGUGAUGGCCCUAGCGGGUGUUGACACAAUGUGAUUUCUGCCCAGUGCUCUGAAUGUCAAAGUGAAGAAAUUCAAGUAAGCGCGGGUCAACGGCGGGAGUAACUAUGACUCUCUUAAGGUAGCCAAAUGCCUCGUCAUCUAAUUAGUGACGCGCAUGAAUGGAUUAACGAGAUUCCUACUGUCCCUAUCUACUAUCUAGCGAAACCACAGCCAAGGGAACGGGCUUGGAAUAAUUAGCGGGGAAAGAAGACCCUUUUGAGCUUGACUCUAAUCUGGCAGUGUAAGGAGACAUAAGAGGUGUAGAAUAAGUGGGAGAUAUUAGACCUCGGUUUGGUAUCGUCAAUGAAAUACCACUACUCUUAUUGUUUCCUUACUUACUUGAUUAAAUGGAACGUGUAUCAUUUCCUAGCCAUUAUACGGAUAUAUUUAUUAUAUCUUAUGGUAUUGGGUUUUGAUGCAAGCUUCUUGAUCAAAGUAUCACGAGUUUGUUAUAUAAUCGCAAACAAAUUCUUUAAUAAAACGAUGCAUUUAUGUAU